rnacentral:sRNA from 1 species
UUGAAUAGACUGUCAACAGGUUAUUGGCUGUUUGAAGAUCCUCAUUUGUCUGCUAACUAUACCUCUAUUUUUUUUUUCUACGUUCACCUGGAAGACAUGUCUUCUUCAAGAGCACCUUGACUCUGUCCAGAAGGAGUUCAUAAUUUUCAACAGAGAAAAAGUAAACAGGGACUUUAACAAAAGACAACCAAAUCUAGCCUUGGAACAAACCAAAGACCCACAAGUGACAAAUGGACAAAUGGACACAGGACUCAGUGAGACUUUUCAGACCUCGAAAGUUUCAUAAAGUGGUCAGA